GAUGAACGCUGGCGGCGUGCCUAAUACAUGCAAGUCGAGCGAACGGACGAGAAGCUUGCUUCUCUGAUGUUAGCGGCGGACGGGUGAGUAACACGUGGAUAACCUACCUAUAAGACUGGGAUAACUUCGGGAAACCGGAGCUAAUACCGGAUAAUAUUUUGAACCGCAUGGUUCAAAAGUGAAAGACGGUCUUGCUGUCACUUAUAGAUGGAUCCGCGCUGCAUUAGCUAGUUGGUAAGGUAACGGCUUACCAAGGCAACGAUGCAUAGCCGACCUGAGAGGGUGAUAGGCCACACUGGAACUGAGACACGGACAAGACUACUACGGGAGGCAGCAGUAGGGAAUCUGCCGCAAUGGGCGAAAGCCUGACGGAGCAACGCCGAGUGAGUGAUGAAGGUCUUCGGAUCGUAAAAAUCUGUUAUUAGGGAAGAACAUAUGUGUAAGGAAAUGUGCACAGCUUGACGGUACCUAAUCAGAAAGCCACGGCUAACUACGUG
rnacentral:rRNA from 1 species